UACAGAGGGUGCGAGCGUUAAUCGGAAUAACUGGGCGUAAAGGGCGCGUAGGUGGUGAUUUAAGAUGCAUGUGAAUCCCUGGGCUUAACCUAGGAAUGGCAUGGAUGACUGAAUCGCUAGAGUAUUGUAGAGGGUAGUGGAAUUUCCGGUGUAGCGGUGAAAUGCGUAGAGAUCGGAAGGGACAUCAGUGGCGAAGGCGGCUACCUGGACAAAUACUGACACUGAGGCGCGAAAGCGUGGGGAGCAAACAGG
rnacentral:rRNA from 1 species